UACGGAGGGAGCUAGCGUUGUUCGGAAUUACUGGGCGUAAAGCGCACGUAGGCGGCGACUCAGGUCAGAGGUGAAAGCCCGGGGCUCAACCCCGGAACUGCCUUUGAAACUAGGUUGCUAGAAUCCUGGAGAGGUGAGUGGAAUUCCGAGUGUAGAGGUGAAAUUCGUAGAUAUUCGGAAGAACACCAGUGGCGAAGGCGACUCACUGGACAGGUAUUGACGCUGAGGUGCGAAAGCGUGGGGAGCAAACAGG
rnacentral:rRNA from 1 species